UAGGGUGUAGAUCAGUGGUAGAGCGCUUGCUUAGCAUGCACAGGCCCUGAGUUCAAUCUUCUGCCCCAUAA
rnacentral:tRNA from 1 species